CCCAGACUCCUACGGGAGGCAGCAGUGGGGGAUAUUGCACAAUGGGGGGAACCCUGAUGCAGCGACGCCGCGUGGGUGAAGGAGUAUUUCGGUAUGUAAAGCCCUAUCGGCAGGGAAGAAGCAAGACGGUACCUGACUAAGAAGCCCCGGCUAACUACGUGCCAGCAGCCGCGGUAAUACGUAGGGGGCGAGCGUUAUCCGGAUUCACUGGGUGUAAAGGGAGCGUAGACGGCAAUGCAAGUCCGGAGUGAAAGCCCGGGGCUCAACCCUGGGACUGCUCUGGAAACUGUAAAGCUGGAGUGCGGGAGGGGCAGGCGGAAUUCCUGGUGUAGCGGUGAAAUGCGUAGAUAUCAGGAGGAACACCGGCGGCGAAGGCGGCCUGCUGGACCGCAACUGACGUUGAGGCUCGAAAGCGUGGGGAGCAAACAGGAUUAGAUACCCCGGUA
rnacentral:rRNA from 1 species